AACCCCCUCCACUCCUUCCACCUUCCCCCUCCCAGUCCCUUUUAUUUCGCAGCUGGAUAACAUUAAGGGCCUUUAAAACCACAAGGGUUGACCCCACCGCAGUUUGAUUAGGUCCUACGUUUUUUUUAUCCUGGCGACAGGCAGACAAGGGAAUGCUGAAGCAAGAGAAAGGGUAUGGUAAAGCGAAUCAUAGGAGUGGGGACGAAAGAGGAGACAUGGUGGCAGCAUAAAGCUAGAACUGAAGAUGACGGCCAUAAGGUGAGAUGCUGUGAGCACGUGGUCCCAGCUGCUGUCUCACUACAGCAUCUACCGCUGGCUGUACUUUGAUGCUGCAAUCCUGAAGGUCAGCACAGGACAUUGGCGCAGGCACACACUCCGAGGAGACGCAUUUGAAAACUC